UACGGGGGGGGCAAGCGUUGUUCGGAAUUACUGGGCGUAAAGGGCUCGUAGGCGGCCAACUAAGUCGGAUGUGAAAUCCCCAGGCUCAACUUGGGAACUGCAUCCGAUACUGGAUGGCUUGAAUUCGGGAGAGGGAAGCGGAAUUCCGGGUGUAGCGGUGAAAUGCGUAGAUAUUCGGAAGAACACCAGUGGCGAAGGCGACUUACUGGACACAUAUUGACGCUGAGGUGCGAAAGCGUGGGGAGCAAACAGG
rnacentral:rRNA from 1 species